UGGUGGCAGAGUUACUGUCAUCAAAGAUUGUAUGCUUGGGGGGGGGGAGGGCUUGAUGUCUUCUAUUUCCAAACUCGUGGUGGCAGCAGGAACGUAAAAGCCGCAUACAAGAGGAUGCCACACUUGCCUUCCCUUCGGUGCGUGGUCACACCGCGGGAAGGUCUCGAGUGGUAUGGCGCAGGGCUCGUCAUCGACUCUCCGGCAGGUUUAUUGCUGGCUUUCUAGACUGUCACCUGUACAAACAAGGGCAGAGAUCUUGUUUGUUUUACUUGAAGUCACAUCCGCAACGUGGAAAGCAGAAUAAUGGCACCUCCAGAGAUGUUUACUUUCCGAUCCCUGGAACCCACGAACAUGCCAGGUUGCGUGGCAGGGGGGCUUAAGGUUGUUGAUCAGCUGACCCGGAGAUGGGGAGAUGGGGAGAUGAUCCUGGAUUAUCUGCGGGAUCCCACUGUAGUCACGAGCAUCCUUAAAUGUGGAGGAAAGAGGCAGGAGAGAGGAAGCCAGAGGGUUGGCAGCGUGCGAAGGACUUGGCCUGACUGGCGGCUUUGAACGUGGAGGAAUGAUCUAGGAGCCGAGGCGCCUAGAACCUGGGAACGGCAAAGGAACGGCUUUUCUCCUAGAACCUCCAGAAGGAAGAAGAACCUGUGGACACCUUGAUUUUUUUUUGCUUAGCCGGACAGUUUUGGAUUUGCGGCCUCCAGAAGAACUGUGAGAUAAUAAAUGUGUUGUCUUGAGCUA